AGGGCGCACGGUGGAUGCCUUGGCACUAGGAGCCGACGAAGGACGUGACAAACGACGAUAUGCCUUGGGUAGCUGUAAGUAAGCGAUGAUCCAGGGAUUUCCGAAUGGGGGAACCCAACAGGUAGUACCUGUUACCCACAUCUGUUAAGGAUGUGAGGAGGAAGACGCAGUGAACUGAAACAUCUAAGUAGCUGCAGGAAGAGAAAGCAAAAGCGAUUGCCUUAGUAGCGGCGAGCGAAACGGCAGGAGGGCAAACCGAAGAGUUUACUCUUCGGGGUUGUAGGACUGCAAUGUGGACUCAAAGAUUAUAGAAGAAUGAUUUGGGAAGAUCAGCCAAAGAGAGUAAUAGCCUCGUAUUUAAAAUAGUCUUUGUACCUAGCAGUAUCCUGAGUACGGCGGGACACGUGAAAUCCCGUCGGAAUCUGGGAGGACCAUCUCCCAACCCUAAAUACUCCCUAGUGACCGAUAGUGAACCAGUACCGUGAGGGAAAGGUGAAAAGCACCCCGGGAGGGGAGUGAAAUAGAACCUGAAACCGUGUGCCUACAACAAGUUCGAGCCCGUUAAUGGGUGAGAGCGUGCCUUUUGUAGAAUGAACCGGCGAGUUACGUUAUGAUGCGAGGUUAAGUUGAAGAGACGGAGCCGUAGGGAAACCGAGUCUGAAUAGGGCGCCUUAGUAUCAUGACGUAGACCCGAAACCAUGUGACCUACCCAUGAGCAGGUUGAAGGUGCGGUAAGACGCACUGGAGGACCGAACCAGGGCACGUUGAAAAGUGCUUGGAUGACUUGUGGGUAGCGGAGAAAUUCCAAACGAACUUGGAGAUAGCUGGUUCUCUCCGAAAUAGCUUUAGGGCUAGCGUCGACAUUAGAGAUUCUUGGAGGUAGAGCACUGUUUGGGUGAGGGGUCCAUCCCGGAUUACCAAUCUCAGAUAAACUCCGAAUGCCAAUGAAUUAUGGUCGGCAGUCAGACUGCGAGUGCUAAGAUCCGUAGUCGAAAGGGAAACAGCCCAGACCACCAGCUAAGGUCCCAAAAUAAUUGUUAAGUGGAAAGGAUGUGGGGUUGCACAGACAACUAGGAUGUUAGCUUAGAAGCAGCUAUUCAUUCAAAGAGUGCGUAAUAGCUCACUAGUCGAGUGACCCUGCGCCGAAAAUGUACCGGGGCUAAAACAAUUUACCGAAGCUGUGGAUACCUUUAUAGGUAUGGUAGGAGAGCGUUCUAUGUGUGGUGAAGGUAUACCGUGAGGAGUGCUGGAACGCAUAGAAGUGAGAAUGCCGGUAUGAGUAGCGAAAGACAGGUGAGAAUCCUGUCCACCGUAAGACUAAGGUUUCCAGGGGAAGGCUCGUCCGCCCUGGGUUAGUCGGGACCUAAGGAGAGACCGAAAGGUGUAUCCGAUGGACAACAGGUUGAUAUUCCUGUACUAGAGUAUGUAGUGAUGGAGGGACGCAGUAGGCUAACUAAAGCAGACGAUUGGAAGAGUCUGUCUAAGCAGUGAGGUGUGAAUUGAGUCAAAUGCUUAAUUCUAUAACAUUGAGCUGUGAUGGGGAGCGAAGUUUAGUAGCGAAGUUAGUGACGUCACACUGCCAAGAAAAGCUUCUAGCGUUUAAACAUACUCUACCCGUACCGCAAACCGACACAGGUAGUCGAGGCGAGUAGCCUCAGGUGAGCGAGAGAACUCUCGUUAAGGAACUCGGCAAAAUGACCCCGUAACUUCGGGAGAAGGGGUGCUGACUUAAAGUCAGCCGCAGUGAAUAGGCCCAAGCAACUGUUUAUCAAAAACACAGCUCUCUGCUAAAUCGUAAGAUGAUGUAUAGGGGGUGACGCCUGCCCGGUGCUGGAAGGUUAAGAGGAGUGCUUAGCGUAAGCGAAGGUAUGAAUUGAAGCCCCAGUAAACGGCGGCCGUAACUAUAACGGUCCUAAGGUAGCGAAAUUCCUUGUCGGGUAAGUUCCGACCCGCACGAAAGGCGUAAUGAUUUGGGCACUGUCUCAACGAGAGACUCGGUGAAAUUUUAGUACCUGUGAAGAUGCAGGUUACCCGCGACAGGACGGAAAGACCCCAUGGAGCUUUACUGCAGUUUGAUAUUGAGUGUCUGUACCACAUGUACAGGAUAGGUAGGAGUCUAAGAAAUCGGGACGCCAGUUUCGAAGGAGACGCUGUUGGGAUACUACCCUUGUGUUAUGGCCACUCUAACCCAGAUAGGUGAUCCCUAUCGGAGACAGUGUCUGACGGGCAGUUUGACUGGGGCGGUCGCCUCCUAAAAGGUAACGGAGGCGCCCAAAGGUUCCCUCAGAAUGGUUGGAAAUCAUUCGCAGAGUGUAAAGGUAUAAGGGAGCUUGACUGCGAGAGCUACAACUCGAGCAGGGACGAAAGUCGGGCUUAGUGAUCCGGUGGUUCCGUAUGGAAGGGCCAUCGCUCAACGGAUAAAAGCUACCCUGG
rnacentral:rRNA from 1 species